ensembl:snRNA U6 U6 spliceosomal RNA
GAGCUCGCUUGGGCAGCACACACAGUAAAAUUGGAACUAUGCAGAGAAGACUGGUAUGGCCCCUGUGCAUGGAUGACACCCAACUUCAUGAGGCAUUCCAUAAUUUU